rnacentral:tRNA from 2 species
GGAGGGUUGCCCGAGCGGCCUAAGGGAACAGUCUUGAAAACUGUCGUGGCCUAGCGCCACCGUGGGUUCAAAUCCCACACCCUCCG